rnacentral:rRNA from 1 species
GGCCUGCAGUGGGUACGGGCAGACUAGAGUGCGGUAGGGGAGAUUGGAAUUCCUGGUGUAGCGGUGGAAUGCGCAGAUAUCAGGAGGAACACCGAUGGCGAAGGCAGAUCUCUGGGCCGUAACUGACGCUGAGGAGCGAAAGGGUGGGGAGCAAACAGGCUUAGAUACCCUGGUAGUCCACCCCGUAAACGUUGGGAACUAGUUGUGGGGUCCAUUCCACGGAUUCCGUGACGCAGCUAACGCAUUAAGUUCCCCGCCUGGGGAGUACGGCCGCAAGGCUAAAACUCAAAGGAAUUGACGGGGACCCGCACAAGCGGCGGAGCAUGCGGAUUAAUUCGAUGCAACGCGAAGAACCUUACCAAGGCUUGACAUAUACGAGAACGGGCCAGAAAUGGUCAACUCUUUGGACACUCGUAAACAGGUGGUGCAUGGUUGUCGUCAGCUCGUGUCGUGAGAUGUUGGGUUAAGUCCCGCAACGAGCGCAACCCUCGUUCUAUGUUGCCAGCACGUAAUGGUGGGAACUCAUGGGAUACUGCCGGGGUCAACUCGGAGGAAGGUGGGGAUGACGUCAAAUCAUCAUGCCCCUUAUGUCUUGGGCUUCACGCAUGCUACAAUGGCCGGUACAAAGGGCUGC